rnacentral:rRNA from 1 species
AUCUUCCGCAAUGGACGAAAGUCUGACGGAGCAACGCCGCGUGAGUGAAGAAGGUUUUCGGAUCGUAAAACUCUGUUGUCAGGGAAGAACAAGUACCAUAGUAACUGAUGGUACCUUGACGGUACCUGACCAGAAAGCCACGGCUAACUACGUGCCAGCAGCCGCGGUAAUACGUAGGUGGCAAGCGUUGUCCGGAUUUAUUGGGCGUAAAGCGCGCGCAGGCGGUCUUUUAAGUCUGAUGUGAAAGCCCACGGCUCAACCGUGGAGGGUCAUUGGAAACUGGGAGACUUGAGUGCAGAAGAGGAGAGUGGAAUUCCACGUGUAGCGGUGAAAUGCGUAGAGAUGUGGAGGAACACCAGUGGCGAAGGCGACUCUCUGGUCUGUAACUGACGCUGAGGCGCGAAAGCGUGGGGAGCGAACAGGAUUAGAUACCCUGGUAGUCCACGCCGUAAACGAUGAGUGCUAAGUGUUAGAGGGUUUCCGCCCUUUAGUGCUGCAGCUAACGCAUUAAGCACUCCGCCUGGGGAGUACGGCCGCAAGGCUGAAACUCAAAGGAAUUGACGGGGGCCCGCACAAGCGGUGGAGCAUGUGGUUUAAUUCGAAGCAACGCGAAGAACCUUACCAGGUCUUGACAUCCUCUGAACCCUCUAGAGAUAGAGCUUUCCCCUUCGGGGGACAGAGUGACAGGUGGUGCAUGGUUGUCGUCAGCUCGUGUCGUGAGAUGUUGGGUUAAGUCCCGCAACGAGCGCAACCCUUGAUCUUAGUUGCCAGCAUUCAGUUGGGCACUCUAAGGUGACUGCCGGUGACAAACCGGAGGAAGGUGGGGAUGACGUCAAAUCAUCAUGCCCCUUAUGACCUGGGCUACACACGUGCUACAAUGGAUGGUAYAAAGGGCAGCAAAGCCGCGAGGCCGAGCCAAUCCCAUAAAGCCAUUC